rnacentral:rRNA from 1 species
GUGGGGAAUAUUGGACAAUGGGCGCAAGCCUGAUCCAGCCAUACCGCGUGGGUGAAGAAGGCCUUCGGGUUGUAAAGCCCUUUUGUUGGGAAAGAAAUCCUGUCGGUUAAUACCUGGCGGGGAUGACGGUACCCAAAGAAUAAGCACCGGCUAACUUCGUGCCAGCAGCCGCGGUAAUACGAAGGGUGCAAGCGUUACUCGGAAUUACUGGGCGUAAAGCGUGCGUAGGUGGUGGUUUAAGUCCGUUGUGAAAGCCCUGGGCUCAACCUGGGAAUUGCAGUGGAUACUGGAUCACUAGAGUGUGGUAGAGGGAUGCGGAAUUUCUGGUGUAGCAGUGAAAUGCGUAGAGAUCAGAAGGAACAUCCGUGGCGAAGGCGGCAUCCUGGGCCAACACUGACACUGAGACACGAAAGCGUGGGGAGCAAACAGGAUUAGAAACCCCUGUAGUCC